GGGGAUGUAGCUCAUUUGGCAGAGCGCGUCAUUAGCAAGUUUCUGAUACAACUUGAAUUGACGAGGUACCGGGUUCAAUUCCCUGCUUCUCCA
rnacentral:tRNA from 1 species